rnacentral:rRNA from 1 species
ACGGAGGAUCCGGGCGUUAUCCGGAAUUACUGGGUUUAAAGGGUGCGUAGGCGGGGCCUUUAGCCGGUGGUGAAAUGUAGCGGCUCAACCGCUGGAAUGCCGUUGGGACUGGGGGUCUUGGAUACAGUCGGGGCGGGUGGAACGUGUGGUGUAGCGGUGAAAUGCAUAGAUAUCACGAGGAACACCGAUAGCGAAGGCAGCUCGCCGGGCCGGUAUUGACGCUGAGGCACGAAAGCGUGGGGAUCGAACAG